CAGGUUCCACAGAUUACUUGCACAAUGUAUGAUAAUAGCAUGGAAUGUCUGAAGUUGCAGUAUAUUAUAUUAAUUUAUGUUUAAAUAUGGCAUCAUAAUAUAUCAUCUAUAUGAAUUCACAUAACAGAAGAUAAUUUUGAGUUUAAUUACAGAAGUAAUUAUAUAACAAUUUUGCACUAAAAGUAUGAUUAGGACAUACUGGUUGGCGUGUGAGGUUUUAUGAGAUAUGGGAUUAAAACCAAGACGUGCUACCAUGCUUUUCCUGUGUUACAGAAAGCUAUCGGAUUUUGAUUAUGUAUUACAGCCUGAUGUUGUGAUGAUGUCGGUUCGUUGGAGUUUACGUUAAAUUGAUACAAAUGAAAUAAAACAUGAAUUUUAAUAUAUUUUAUCAAACAGGGUGGAAAUUACACAGGAUGUGAUGAUUCAAAACUAUUUUAAAAUUUAAGGUGGUCAUAGACAAGUAAGAUUCAUAGCAAAAAUAGGCACAAAGCCAUAAACUCAUUAGGAAAGAAAUGAGUUUGCUUGUUUCAGGCAUUGUGCUUCUUUUUGCUCUGAAUCUGACUAGUCUAUGAUAACUUGAAAUUUUAAAAUAGUUUCAAAUUGUCACAUCCUGUAUAAUUUCCUCCUUGUUUGAUAAAAUGUAAUAAAUUUAAUUUUUAGUUCCAUUUGUAUACACGCGUGCGCACACGCACACACACACACACACACACACACACACACACACACACACACACACACAGAGGACCAAAUUAAGCAACGAAUUUCACGUGUUAUUAGAAAAUGCAUUAGCAUGGCGUUCAGAUGCAAUGUGCUGACUUGAUGUCCACCAUGCUGCUAAACACCUAGAAAUGGUGUGGCCUGUGUAUACAGUAUGUGUGCCUAAACAUAGUCCUCUACCACAACAGCAUGUCCCAGUGGCAAUUUUCAGCUACAGCCACACAUGAACUACACAGUACAUAAGAGUUCUCAUAAUGGGUGAAUGUAAACUAGCUGCUUUAGCUUCAGUAGUGAUUCCUGAUAAUGAGAGGAGAAAAAACGAAGAAGACUGUGGACACAACAGUGGAUUAAAUGGUGCAGUGCUCGGACAGGAACAUCGAAUAUGCAGUACAGUAAGCUGAGGUUUGAAGAUCCAGAUUCAUUUCUGAAUUUUACACGAAUAGAUACGGAAGUUUUCAUGAAAUUACUCCGUAUUAUAGAAAACGAUGUCUGUAGGCAAGAUGUGAACAUGAGGGAGUCGAUGAAACAAAGAUAUAGGUUUCAGCCUCAGUUAGUGAGUGGGUAAACAUUGCCCAUUCAUUUAAUGUGUUUUUGCAGUUCCCUCAUUGCAUUGGUGUUGUUCCUGGGAAAAAAGUGACUUUCAGGGCACCGAGGUCAGAAGGUGCCUGUUUGAGAUAUUAUGAAGGGAACAACAGCAUUACGCUGCUUGCAAUUUAUAUAUUGGCAGAAGCAUAGAAUUGUAACAAACUGAAUUUGCCAGCACCAGAGAAGACUGAGUGUUUUAGUGUUUCAGAACUGCCAUAUGAACUGUCACUGAUGAUGUGUUUGUAUUGGAAGAGUACAUGAUGAAGUAUCAUGAAAGAGAUAUCUUAAAAGAGAAGAGCGUUUUCAGUUAGAGACUGACCAGGGCUCUGCAACAGGAGAGUGUGGAUGUGAGGAGACUGAACUCUGGGAAACUACACCACCUUCUACAAGGCAGAUGUUCAAACAAUGUUAACUUGUAAUGAAAGCCCAUUGCUGGUGGUGAAAUACAUGUAACAAUAAAUUGA